GGAAGGUGCAAGCGUUAAUCGGAAUUACUGGGCGUAAAGCGCGCGUAGGCGGUUAGAUAAGUCGGGUGUGAAAGCCCCGGGCUCAACCUGGGAACUGCAUUCGAUACUGUUUGACUAGAGUGUAAUAGAGGGAGGCGGAAUUCCGCAUGUAGCGGUGAAAUGCGUAGAGAUGCGGAGGAACACCAAUGGCGAAGGCAGCCUCCUGGAUUAACACUGACGCUGAGGUGCGAAAGCGUGGGGAGCAAACAGGGAUUAGAUACCCUGGUAGUCCACGCUGUAAACGAUGUCAACUAGCCCGUUGGGAGCAAUUUGGCUCUUGGUGGCGCAGCUAACGCGAUAAGUUGACCCGCCUGGGAGUACGGUCGCAAGAUUA
rnacentral:rRNA from 1 species